CAUUGAUAGGAACAUAAUACACAUAAUUAAAUCUUCAGGGGAUACCUCCAAGCAUAUGAACAGAGGUGUCUCUCAAAGAUGAUAAUACUAUAAAAAGAAAACAAGGAAAAGAAAAGACACACUUUAAUACGUAUAGAUUAAUUAAUCUGUUGAUCUCAGCUGAAGGCAUUAAAACCUUGAUUUCUCAGGCUUUGUAACAGACCUCC
rnacentral:misc_RNA from 1 species